UCCCUUUCCCUCCAUUUUGCGGAGCUCAGCAGCAGAAGCUCGCAAGGUAAGCGCCCUGGCAAGCUUGAUGGGGCCGUGUGGUCGGGUCGGGAUCAUCUUUUUCUUCACGAACAGCUUCAGAUUGCAGAGACAUCGAUUACUCUCCCGGGAGGAAGACUGGAUUGUACAAUGUAAUCACUCCAGUUCUUUGGGGCGAACUGAUGACCCGAGUCACCCGCAUGGCGUCUACAAGAGCCGAGCGACAAUCCCUCGUUCAAGAAGCACAUCAAAAGACUAAAGUCUUUCUUCGGUUGAUCUGGAGACUAGACUUUGCAGUUGAAUUCUCGUCCGUGUUUCUCCCGCGGUGGAUUAUCACUUAGGACUUACGACGAAUAACCAAAAGGCCUUGGAA